rnacentral:lncRNA from 1 species
AAAAGAUAGCACAUAACAUAUAAUUAUCCAUAUAUUGUUCAUAUGUGUGUAGAUAUAAGUCCAUAUAUCUAGAUAUAAAUCCAUAUAUCUUACAAGUUGUUGUUCUUGCAUAAGGGUUCUCUUUAGCAUAGUAAGCCACAGAACCUAGGGUUCCUUGACUCAUCUCUCUCAUAGUCGUCGGCCCCCAGGUCAUCUCUCGAACAAUUACCAAGUAAUCUCUUUGUUCUCCCUGUCUCUUCUCCUUUUGGUUGCAAUUUAAACUUGUGGGGAAGAAAUUUUUGAUUUUUUUUUACUCCAAUUAUCAUUGAAUAAGUUAUUAGAUUACUAGUUCUAUUUUACUUGUAAAUUGCCUCUUCGAUCUGAAUCAUUCUUUGUAAGGAUUAACAAUUUUUGUCAUAUAGCAUGAUAUAAGAUAAGAUCUAACUGAUAAAUGCUUAAUUACAAAUCUUAGUGUGAAAAUUAGAAUGAUGGAGAUGGAACUUUUUGGUGAGGUGUGGGGGGNNNNNNNNNNNNNNNNNNNNNNNNNNNNNNNNNNNNNNNNNNNNNNNNNNNNNNNNNNNNNNNNNNNNNNNNNNNNNNNNNNNNNNNNNNNNNNNNNNNNNNNNNNNNNNNNNNNNNNNNNNNNNNNNNNNNNNNNNNNNNNNNNNNNNNNNNNNNNNNNNNGGGGGGGGGGGGGUUGGAGAUACAGAGAAUGGAAUCUUUGAUGUGGAACAAAAAAUUAAAUUUUGAUAAGAGUAUUUACACAAAAUUAGAUGACCUUACAGAGAUACGGUAGUUUUCCCAUUGUCUCUGCCAAAUUUACCUUCUUCUUGUCUUUUAAAUCCUUUCUGCUGAAAGGGCUAAAAUAAGGGUUCUUCUUGUCUGUUAAUAAUUACUUACUUUAUUUAAGUUAUUUGUUUUACUUAGUAGAAACAAUUAAUUUUAAUUACAUUUAUAUGAUAUGAUAACAUUAAAAGGAAGUUUACAAUAUUAGUGUAUAAACAUUAAACUUUUCAUUAUUAUGCCUAACAUUACACACUAUUAGCUAAAUAUAUUUAUAUGAUAUGAUAAUAUUAAAAGAAAGUUUACAAUAUUAGUGUAUAAAAAUUAAACUUUUUAUUAUUAUGCCUAACAUUUCACACUAAUAGCUAAAUAUUUAUUUUAUAGUCAAUAGGAAGUAAGAAAAUAUAAUUGAGCAGUGAUAAUUAUUUUCAUUGAACAUAUAUAUCGUUAUGGUUUAAUUGUUAUUUUAAUGUCUAAACUAUUAAUAGCCCUUCUAAUCAUGAAAUAAAAAAACUAAAGUGUGCUAAAAUAAUCAAAAGUUAUGACCUAUCCCAACUUGAAUUUUAUACAUAAUUAAUCCUGGUGCUUUUCAUUAUAUAGAGCUUAUUGUAGAGGCAGUUAACUUCCGUAAUUUAUUUUAUUAUCGACUUACUUCUAGAAUUUAUUUGUUGUGUCUUAGAUUAUGUGCUUAUGAUUUAUGUUUCUUUGCCUAUGAUUUAUGUUUCUUUGCCUAUUACAGCCUCUCUACCCCAGGGUAGGGGUAAGGCUGCGUACACACUACCCUCCCCAGACACCACUGAGUGGUAUUGUACUGGGUCGUACUUUACUUUUUUGCCUAUUACAUUCUAAGGAGCAUUAGAGUAACGGUUAAAGUUACUUUUGUGAAAAUAACUUUUUUAUAGAAAUACAAGAUAAGAUUGCGUACAAUAGGCUUUUGUGAUCUGACCUUUCUCCAAACCCUACAUAUAACAAGAGCUUGUUGCACUAGACUGCCUUUUUUAAUGCCUAUUACUUUUUAGGCCGGAAUUCUAAGAUAGCUCUGUCUACCCUUUAAAAUAGUGAAGAUAUGAAUGUCUAGUUUGGUUUUACUUUUAUUUGAUUAUUUUUUGUCCUCUAUAAUGCUGAAUCUUGGCGCUUAAUGAGUUAUAUAUGUAUAUUUUCCAAUUCAAACAUAAAAGAGAUCAGGUAUUUGUCUUUGUGUGCAUAGUUUAGAUCAUAAAAGAUGUGUCAAGUGUCAUUCAUUAAGUUUGACAAUUAAAAUUGUGUUGACAUGCAGUUUAGUUAAUUUUACAAUUAAUGCACUGAAAUCCGAAUGCAUUUAGUUUAUAUAUAUAUAUAUAUAUAUAUAUAUAUAUAUAUCUUAUGGUUUUCCACCCUAUUUGCAAGACAAUGGACAAUAUGGUUCUUGAUUCAAUGGGAAGAAGAAGAACUUGUCUUGCUAAAGAAUGGGAACCAUAACNAAAUAUAUAUAUAUAUAUAUAUAUAUAUAUAUAUAUAUAUAUAUAUAGCUAUAUGUUGCAUUAAGUGUAAGAACUUCGAAUCAAGACACACCUUAAGGUAGAGUAUAAAUUAAUUUCGCACAAAUAUACUUGUUAGUAUUUUCUUUGAGUCGGAAAUGGACUUUCAUUAACUUCUCUUUCUUUAGAUUUCUUUAAGGUUAAUGCUUUCUCUGUUGGAAGGUUCUAAUAUUCCAACUACAUCCUAAAGAAAAUUAUUUUUAUAUACAAUAGUUUCUAUUAUUUUUCAUUUCAUAUAAAAUGAGUGAAACUUGUAUUCAUUAAAUGUCGAGUUUUGCAUUAUUUUACUGCUGUAAAACUUAAGUCUUGCUCUGACAUCUUGUCUAGCAAAAUAAAAGAAUUUAAUAUAUGAGUACUUAAUUAAAUACAGUUUGACAGUAUAGAGUUUGGUGCAUUAUACUACUCUCCAUUUUGAUAUGGCUAUGACUCAGUAUAAAAAGGCAUAAUUUCAACCUUAGCUAUGAACUUUGGUGUACACAAUUCAUCAGCAAGUUCUAGAUUCAUUGCCUAUGGAGCCUGAGGAAAAAUCUCAAAUUGUCUUAUAUAGAUACAAUAGUCUAUUGAAAUAUAUGUUACUCAGACUCUCCCACGUCUCAUAUAGAUACUUGUCACUUCUAUUUAUUUGUACGAAUGUUCUAAGGUUAAUCACUGGUAACUAUAAUUUAAUAACUUAAAGAAAAUCUUAGAUCAUUCACGAUACUGAUUAAUAAUCUUAGAUGAUUUACAAUAUAUUAGAACUCUUACUUGUGAACUUCACCACCUCUUUUGCAAGAAUAAUUAGCUUCAUGACAGAAAUUGUAAUCCUAGUCUCAUUAAAAAAGUCAUACUAGCCAAAACAUUCCCCCAUAGCUAAUAGAGGGGUCUAUUGAGAAAAUGUCUACUUGAUGGUAGUUGAGGAAACAACAUGGAUCUUGAGCAAGAAAAUAUAAAGACUCAAUAAAAGUUUUCGAAAACUAAAAGAAAGUAAUAUCUGUAGCAGUGAAUUUUGUUAUCAGUUCUUCCUUUAAUUGUCUUGAUGACUUCUUAGUUGUUCUGCCUCCACAUCCUUUUACAGUCUCAGUUGUUAGUCGUUCGUCUAUGAUUAUGAUAACAUAAUUGUGACACCAUACGAAAGAAUAAGUUUCCUUGUUACUGAAUGUUUCUUGCUUGUAAUAUCAGAUUAUUCACACUUCUUGCAAUGUUUUUAUACAUGAAAUUUUAUAUUUUGAUGUAUUUAUUUUAUUAUUUCAGGUCAUAUGUUCUAAUGUUCGAAAAUUUCGCAUGUGAAAGCUUUCAAUAUGAUGAAGAGUUGCGGAAAUUAUUUGAAGUCAUUAUUGAUAGGAUUGGUUAUAUUAGUACGAACAAUAUAAGUUUUGCUUUUAAGUUGUGACGUUAUUAUUUUGGUUUACUCUUUUCUUUUGUUUGUUUUAGAUUUAGUAAGUUACUUUUCGAAUUAAUAGUAAUAUAUUUUUAGUGUCAAACUUCUUUACCACCAAGAGGCUCUUUUUACUAAUAAUUUUCUUAGAUUUACUAGUAAUGUUUGUUUUAGAUUUAGUAAGUUACUUUUUUUAAGUUGUGACGUUAUUAUUUUGGUUUACUCUUUUCUUUUGUUUGUUUUAGAUUUAGUAAGUUACUUUACGAAUUAAUAAUAAUAUAAUCUUAGUGUCAAACUUCUCUAC